rnacentral:rRNA from 1 species
CACGAAGUUAGCCGGGGCUUAUUCUUCCGGUACCGUCAUUAUCGUCCCGGACAAAAGAGCUUUAUAACCCUAAGGCCUUCAUCACUCACGCGGCAUGGCUGGAUCAGGCUUGCGCCCAUUGUCCAAUAUUCCCCACUGCUGCCUCCCGUAGGAGUCUGGGCCGUGUCUCAGUCCCAGUGUGGCUGAUCAUCCUCUCAGACCAGCUACUGAUCGUCGCCUUGGUAGGCCGUUACCCCACCAACUAGCUAAUCAGACGCGGGCCGAUCCUUCGACAGUAAACCUUUCCCCCAAAGGGCGUAUCCGGUAUUAGCUCCAGUUUCCCCGAAGUUAUCCCAGAUCGAAGGGUACGUUCCCACGUGUUACUCACCCGUCUGCCACUCACCCCGAGGAUGCGUUCGACUUGCAUGUGUUAAGCCUGCCGCCAGCGUUCGCUCUGAGCCAGGAUCAAACUCU